rnacentral:rRNA from 1 species
AACGAACGCUGGCGGCAUGCCUAACACAUGCAAGUCGAACGAGAUCUUCGGAUCUAGUGGCGCACGGGUGCGUAACGCGUGGGAAUCUGCCCUUGGGUUCGGAAUAACAGUUAGAAAUGACUGCUAAUACCGGAUGAUGACGUAAGUCCAAAGAUUUAUCGCCCAAGGAUGAGCCCGCGUAGGAUUAGCUAGUUGGGGAGGUAAAGGCUCACCAAGGCGACGAUCCUUAGCUGGUCUGAGAGGAUGAUCAGCCACACUGGGACUGAGACACGGCCCAGACUCCUACGGGAGGCAGCAGUGGGGAAUAUUGGACAAUGGGCGAAAGCCUGAUCCAGCAAUGCCGCGUGAGUGAUGAAGGCCUUAGGGUUGUAAAGCUCUUUUACCCGGGAUGAUAAUGACAGUACCGGGAGAAUAAGCUCCGGCUAACUCCGUGCCAGCAGCCGCAGUAAAAC